UACGAAGGUCCCAAGCGUUGUUCGGAAUUACUGGGCGUAAAGCGUGCGCAGGCGGUUUUGUAAGCCAGAUGUGAAAUCCCCGGGCUUAACCUGGGAAUGGCAUUUGGGACUGCAAGGCUCGAGUGCGGCAGAGGAGACUGGAAUUCCUGGUGUAGCAGUGAAAUGCGUAGAUAUCAGGAGGAACACCGAUGGCGAAGGCAGGUCCCUGGGCUGACACUGACGCUCAUGCACGAAAGCGUGGGGAGCAAACAGG
rnacentral:rRNA from 1 species